GAUUCCUUAACUUAAUAGGUUAAAGUAUACUUUUGAUAAGAGUAGGAUUAGCGUUCAAUUCGCUAAGGAAUCA